UACGUAGGGUGCGAGCGUUGUCCGGAAUUAUUGGGCGUAAAGAGCUCGUAGGCGGUCUGUCGCGUCGGUCGUGAAAACUUGGGGCUUAACCCUGAGCUUGCGGUCGAUACGGGCAUGACUGGAGUUCGGCAGGGGAGACUGGAAUUCCUGGUGUAGCGGUGAAAUGCGCAGAUAUCAGGAGGAACACCGGUGGCGAAGGCGGGUCUCUGGGCCGAUACUGACGCUGAGGAGCGAAAGCGUGGGAGCGAACAGG
rnacentral:rRNA from 1 species